UUGCAGUGGUCUAGAGUGAGGGGUUAUGGCAGGGGAAACGGUGUUGCCGUAGUCUAGUGUGAGGGGUUAUGGCAGGGGAAACAGUGUUGCAGUAGUCUAGUGUGAGGGAUUAUGGCAGGGGAAACGGUGUCGCAGCAGUCUAGUGUGAGGGAUUAUGGCAGGGGAAACGGUGUUGCAGUAGUCAAGUGUGAGGGUUUAUGGCAGUAGUCUAGUGUGAGGGAUUAUGGCAGGGGAAACGGUGUUGCAGUAGUCUAGUGUGAGGGAUUAUGGCAGGGGAAACGGUGUUGCAGUAGUCUAGUGUGAGGGGUUAUGGCAGGGGAAACAGUGUUGCAGUAGUCUAGUGUGAGGGGUUAUGGCAGGGGUAACGGUGUUGCAGUGGUCUAGUGUGAGGGGUUAUGGCAAAAGAAACGGUGCUGCAGUAGUCUUGUGUGAGGGUUUAUGGCAGGGAAAACAGUGUUGCAGUAGUCUAGUGUGAGGGGUUAUGGCAGGGGUAACGGUGUUGCAGUAGUCUAGUGUGAGGGGUUAUGGCAGGGAAAAGAGUGUUGCAGUAGUCUAGUGUGAGGGGUUAUGGCAGGGAAAACAGUGUUGCAGUAGUCUAGUGUGAGGGGUUAUGGCAGGGGUAACGGUGUUGCAGUAGUCUAGUGUGAGGGGUUAUGGCAGGGGAAACAGUGUUGCAGUAGUCUAGUGUGAGGGGUUAUGGCGUGGGAAACGGUGUUUCAGUAGUCUAGUGAGGGGUUAUGGCGUGGGAAACGGUGUUGCAGUAGUCUAGUGUGAGGGGUUAUGGCAGGGGAAACGGUGUUGCAGUAGUUUAGUGUGAGGGGUUAUGGCAGGGGAAACGGUGUUGCAGUAGUCUAGUGUGAGGGGUUAUGGCGUGGGAAACGGUGUUGCAGUAGUCUAGUGUGAGGGGUUAUGGCAGGGGUAACGGUGUUGCAGUAGUCUAGUGUGAGGGGUUAUGGCAGGGGAAACGGUGUUGCAGUAGUUUAGUGUGAGGGGUUAUGGCGUGGGAAAUGGUGUUGCAGUAGUCUAGUGUGAGGGGUUAUGGCAGGGGAAACGGUGUUGCAGUAGUUUAGUGUGAGGGGUUAUGGCGUGGGAAAUGGUGUUGCAGUAGUCUAGUGUGUGGUGUGGGAAUAAUGACAAGCGAACCUGGUGAGCUUUUUGUUCACAUUGCCCUAAAAAGGGAACCGGACUAUGGAAUUCAAGUGAACCAAAUGUGAGGGGUUUUAGUUCGGUUCGCUUCUGGGCUCUUUUGAGGGGUUUGAGUUCCUUUGGAGUGUUCACACUGCACAAGCAAUUAAGCAAACUGCACUGAGUUCACAAAAAUAAGUUAUAGUUCACAAAAAUAUAUUAUAA
rnacentral:lncRNA from 1 species